GAUGAACGCUAGCGGCAGGCUUAACACAUGCAAGUCGAGGGGCAGCGCGGGAUAGCAAUAUCCUGGCGGCGACCGGCGGACGGGUGCGUAACGCGUGAGCGACAUGCCCGUUGCCCGGGGACAACCGGUGGAAACGCCGACUAAUCCCCGAUGGGAUAUUGUGCCGCAUGGCACGAUAUUGAAAGUUACGGCGGCGACGGAUUGGCUCGCGUCCGAUUAGCUGGUUGGCGGGGUAACGGCCCACCAAGGCUGCGAUCGGUAGGGGUUCUGAGAGGAAGGCCCCCCACAGUGGGACUGAGACACGGCCCACACUCCUACGGGAGGCAGAAGGGAGGAAUAUUGGUCAAUGGGCGGAAGCCUGAACCAGCCAGGCCGCGUGCGGGAAGGAGGCCCUAUGGGCUGUGAACCGCUUUUGCCUGGGGGCAAUAAGGGCGUCGCGCACGUCCGAUGAGAGUACCAGGCGAAUAAGCAUCGGCUAACUCCGUG
rnacentral:rRNA from 1 species